rnacentral:sRNA from 1 species
ACGAAGAUUGGUUUUUCGUCUCGAUGAACCCACAGAGAUCACCGUUGGGAAGUAACAGGUGAAGUGACCCGUCUGCAAGACUGGCUACCACCAGGUUUCCUUCUGGGUCGUGACACAAGGAUGAAGGCAAAAAGAUAUCAAUACUCAGCCUGAGUCCCAUCGAUCUUUCGUCGCCGCCUCUUCCUUUAUAUUUUCUAAUGACGUAGCCUUCAUCCGUCAUAAUGAGAACUUGAUUACUUUCUAUAUCAGCCACACAUACCGUGUCGUUCUGAGGAUUAACAGAUACGCAGAUUGGUCGCUUCAGCGAAAACUCAUGACCAACUUUACUAAACUCAUUCAAGGAUUUUCCGGUCUUAUCAAAUAUCUGUAGAGCGCCCUGGGAGUGUGAACGUCUUACCCGAUAUUGGUGGUCGUUUUUCGCGAUCCCAGUGCAUGCUAUCCUCCCAUCCUUAAAUGUUGAGAGAGAAAGAGGCCUGAACGAAUAACAUUUUGCAAAUACAGAUAUCCGAGAUUCGUCAACCAUCUGGAAAAUAGCUGAAUCUGCACAGUUCGAAAAUAAGAUUUUGCCCUCUGAUGUUUUCGUUAUUCCACUUAUUCCUUCACUGAAGGUCUUUCUCACGAAAGGUCUGCCUCUGAUUGUACACUCUAUCAUUUCAGGCAUUUGCUCAUAAAUGACCAAGCAAGUGUUUUCUGAUUUCGGAAAAAUGCAUGCAACUGUCAUGUGUUCUUCGGAACGACUAGCUUCACAAGGGACUUUGAAGGAUGACAGAAAUUUUACUAUCAGUUUUGUGCCAGAGUUAUGCUCAUGAAAAUGUAUAAGUCUGCUCAGGGAAAUUCCGCCGCCAUCUUCCGACUCGUCAUCCUCAUCGCAGCCAUCAGAUUCAAGAUCAGAGUCUUUCAACUCGCCUGCCAUUUUCAAAGCAAGAUCGUGUGACGAUUUACACGAAUCACAAAACUUAACAACACAGUGCUUACACGGGUUGAUCUCCAGAACCUCUACAUAACAAAUUUCACAGCAAUGAACAGAUGGGGAUUCUGGGGGCCUCAGGGGCACAAAGUAAUUAUCCAACAAUCCAUCUAAGCCCCUGUCGUCGAGUAUAUGCUUUUGGCGACACAAAGGACAGACUAUCUCGCUGACUUCAACUUUCUUGGUGUAAUCCUGGAGACAAGGUUUGCAGAACGUGUGGCGACAUGAGAGAAGCUUUGGAUGUAAAAAGGAAUCAAAACAAAUAGAACAAGUACUUGCGUCGUCUUCUGAAUCCAUGUGAAUUGUAGUUUAUUUGCUGUACGUCACACUUUCUCUAUUUCAACCCGAUCACAAGGACGGAAACCAAGCAAUAUAGAACAAGGAAGAAUAUUCUACAUUCUAUGAAAAAAUUGUUUCUGAUCCUAUGUAAAACUAUAGAAUGCGUAUGUUGACAUCAGAUCCCUAAGUUUUAAACAAAUAUGUUCUGGCGCGGAUCAAAACAAUUGCUGGUGGGGUAGUGGGUGUUCCUUGGGGAGGCUUAUGUUUCCAAGGGGAUAACUUUGGCAACCUUUAAAUGAACUCAUUUAGUCUGAUUUGUUAGGUUGUUGCUGUCUGGACUGGACUCCCCCUAUACUAGUAUUUAAUGAGAUAUAUUCAGAGUAUUAGUUUGGUUAAAAUACUAUUAUUGGUUGGAGACAGUAGCUACCGAUACCUUAAUUACCUUAAGAAGUACUACGUCGUGCGCUCAGAUGUGUUUGCACACAAUGUUGCAGGUUGAAAAUAUAUUCUUUAAAAAAACCAACACAUCAAUGCAUAGAUUUUUAUUUGUCCGGCCAAUAUAUCCUUGCAUUUAAUUGUUUGUAAAACAGGUUUUUCAUGCAGUGACUAGUAAAACCAAUCCACUUACAGUUUACAUGCAUUAAAAUGAAUAUAUACUUUUGUUUCCGCGACGCUGAUUGUACAAACAUUACGAAAGCCCAUUGAGCUCAUUUUCGU